UGCUGACAUCCCUUCAUCAACAUCACACAUGUCUAUCUCAUCCCACACACUUCUCUCUCUCUUUCUCUCUCUCUUAGGAUAACCAUUUUUCAGAUCUUAAACAAAAAAUUCUUCUUCUUAUCAAAAUCCUUCAUAAUCAACCAUCAUAACUCCAAAUGCUCCUAACAAAAAAGAUGCUCCGAAUUAAAAAAAAAAAAAAAAAAAAAAACUCCAGAUGCUCCGGUUGAAGAUGCUUCGGGAAGAUGCUACCAGAUCCAAAAGAUGCUCCAGAUCCGGUUGAAGAUGUUCGAUAUUGAAGAUGAUGUUUUUCAGAUGACGGUUCAAUGUUGAAGAUAAUUCAAAAGAUGUUGAAGAUGUUCCAGAUCUAAAAGAUCACCCAGAUCAAUAAGUAUGUUUGUGUUUUUGUAGAUCUUCCUUUUUUGUGUUUUGUAGAUCUCCAACAUUUUUUGUAAUUUUCAGAUUCAUAAUUUUUUGUGUUCCAGAUCUAAAAGGUCCUCUAGAUUUGCAAUUUUUUGUGUUCCAGAUCUAAAAGGUCCUCUUGAUACAAUCAUGAAACAAAGUGAGUUUUGUUGUUACAAAAAAAUAACAAGAGUGACGUGAAGCAUGGUGUGGUUCAUAUGACGGUUCGAUGUUUUAGAUCUGAAGCAUUUAGUUCUUGUUUUCUGGAUAUGUUGUUUUUUAUUACUGAUUUUUUCAUUUUUUUGUGUAAAAUUUGUUUUUAGAUAUGAAACAAUUUGAUUUAAGUUCUUAUGUAUUGGAUUCUUGUUAAUGAAGUGAUAUUUUUUAUGUA